ensembl:lncRNA
GUGAAAGGUCGCGGGUCCCCGGCAACACGGCUCAGGCAAACGUAAGCCGCUUGUCGCAGAAACCGAGGGGGUCCAAGAAACGCGCUAGGCUGGAAGGCGGGAAGCAGACGUUACUGACAGCCGUGCCAGCCAGUAGUGUGGAAACGUGAGAAAGGCUCUUCAGGCCCCUUCCCAAUCAGGAAACUUGGGUGCAGGUUGGAGCAAUCACUUUGAAAAUAGUGUGGAGUCCUCAUUAGCAGACAAUCAAAGAUCACUCACUUGGGAAAGCCAGCUGCCAAUGUCACAACAAUCAGGGAGCCUAUGGAGAGGGCUUUUUGUGAAGAACUGAAUCCUACCUACAAAUGCAUGAAGUGGAUUUGCAAGUUUCAGAUGAGUGCAAUUCAGCCCAAUCUUGACUACAACCUCAGCAGAAACUCUGAGUCAGAACAACCCAACUAAGUUACUCCCAGAUUCCUACCACAAAAACUAGUAGCGAAUAUAUUUUUGUGGUCUUAAGCUGUUAAGUUCUAUGUUAUACUUUGCAGAUUGUUACAUAUAUAGUAUACAUAUAUAUAGUACAUAUAUAACAUAUUACACAGCAAUAAAUAACCAAUGCACCCAUCUGAUUGUUCAGUGGAACCCCAAAAUGAUUGUGGCACUGUCUGACGUGAGCAAAAGAGGGUACCUGACCCUGUUGAACAUAUAGAAUCAUUAAAGACAAUACAAUGACAGUUAUUACAAAC